GACGAACGCUGGCGGCGUGCUUAAUACAUGCAAGUUGAGCGGAGCUUUGAGGAAGCUUGCUUUCUCAAAGUCGAGCAGCGGACGGGUGAGUAACGCGUGGGUAACCUGCCCUUUAGCCUGGGAUAACAGUUCGAAAGGACUGCUAACACCGGAUAAGCUCCCGGCCUGGCAUCAGGCAGAGAGAAAAGUUUACACUAAAAGGAUAAGGACCCGCGUCCCAUUAGCUAGUUGGUGAGGUAAUGGUCCACCAAGGCGACGAUGGGUAGCCGACCUGAGAGGGUGACCGGCCACACUGGGACUGAGACACGGCCCAGACUCCUACGGGAGGCAG
rnacentral:rRNA from 1 species